AUGAAUAGCAAACUUAUUCUCUUGCUGGUUCUCAUUGCUUGCUCAGAGCUCAUCACUGCAGAUGUUCCGUGGAACGGGUAUGGAAGACGUCGUGUGCGUCGCCGCCGCAGAGCGUGGGAUCAAACGGAAAUUGAAGAAGCGGUUCAAGAUAUCGAUUCUGCCACGAUUGCUGAAAUCGACGCUCUUAUGCAGGCUUAAAUAGACACGACGACCGCCAGUUGUUACGUGUUAUUGCAUGGAAAAAAACACACACAAUAAAUAUAUACACAAAAUAAAUGCAUCUGCCU